UGAUUUAUUUCUUACAAUUGACCUUCAUCUCAAAUUUGGAAUAUACCAAUAAUGAGAGGAUUCUGCCGCUGCUGCCAUAGCCGAUUUAUUUGAUAAGCUUUGUUUGAAGUCUAAACCUACCCAUAACUAGAACCCAAUUCCAAGAAAAACAACUCCAAAUUCAUUUCACCUCCACACAGAGGAAAGAGGCGCUGAGAAAGAGAAGAAAUUGUUCCUCUACCCAUAGCCGAUUUAUCUGUUUGCAUUCAAUUGAAAUCCAUCCUCUACUGACCCUUUCCCAAUCUAAAAAUUGGAGAUGUUGUGUAUGGUAUCGAAACAAUAAGCAGCAAUCAAUUUUCAUCUGGAGGGUUCCAUUUCAUAUCAAAGGAAUUAGUAGCAACCCAACCAUCUCAAAUCACAAAAUGUUUGAAAACGCACAGGAUUCCCUUGGCUGGAACGAAUCCCUAACCCUCCGCUGGCUUCUAUUGCGCUGGUUGUAGAGCUUCAAGCUUUGAAGAUGUUCAGAGUUGUACAGGCUUCAUGUUAGGGUUUAUUGGCAGAACUAUUUACCCCAAAUUAAAGAGUAUCAAAAUGUAAAGCUUAUGUGGAACAAGCUUUAUAAUCCAGAGGAUGUUAGCUGGUUCAAGAUCUGCUUGGAAUAGCUUUAGUAAGGAUAAGAAAUUGAGGUUAGCCUUCAUAGAAGAUUUAGUGGACCAUUUGACUUUAAUUGGUGAAGGUCUCAAGUGGGGUACUGACUUAGCUAAAUCCAAAGGAAUAUUCUUGGAGAAAUUGCUGGUAUCUUCAAGGUACUCUUGGCGUGGAAGAUGAAUGCAACAGUGUGUUAAAGGCCUUGGGAUUUUGGGAAACAAUUACUCACUCGAGAAAACAUUAGUAGAGAGGCUUGAAGGCAGAGUUAUCUCACUGAAAUUGAACUACAGUUAGCUUUCUACAACUGCUCCAUCAAACUGCAUGGCUUCAAGUGUUGAUAAAGUAGCUGAUCUGAAUGCCUGUAUAAAACAAGGUAUCCAUUCUUACUCUUUAAUGAACAACGAAAAUAUUGUUGUCUCUUUUCUUCUUUUUGUAACAUAAAUGGCUAGAUUGUAUAAUUUAUAACUUAUGGACCACUUUACAUGGUGCAAGGUGUUGUUGGCAAGAUAGCCAUUCAUUUAAACUAGACUAAUACCCUUGCGAUGCGCGGUUGUUGAGAUGAUAUUAUUUCUUAAUAGAGUUGAUAAUGUUGCAUUUAGCUUUAUUAAAAAUACAAAUGAGUCAUGAAUAUGUACAUAAUGCUCUAGCCUUUACGUCCCUUAUCUGUAUGCCAAUUUUUUAUCAAUAUAACUUGAGUUUUUCUUCAUAUAUUUUCAUAACUUUCUGAUGAAUUUUAAUUUAUAACUGAGUUUUUUUUCUAUUUUUAUCUGAAAACAAAUAUCAGAAGUGUUUAUAGUUUCAUGCAAAUCCUUCUUUUAUUUCUUAGCUUAAAAUAUUUUAGCUCAUGGGCUUGAACGUCCAUCCCAAGAUGCAGAAAUUGUUGAAUUUCACCAUAUAAUGUCAGAUUAAGAAUAACUGAGAUUAUGUGGGAUUUUUUAUAUUUAACAUCCAAAAGUUCAGUCUCUAGAAAUCCUUUUCAUCUUGCUUCUUAUAUAGCUGCUCCCUUUAAAAGCAUGAUUUUCUUACAUAUAAUGAAAUUAUUUAUCUCCUUAAUUGCAUGACUCACAACACUGAUCAAACAUAUACUUCCAAUUUUCUGGCAUAUAAACCUUUUUCGAAGCUCACCUGUAGACUCUAAAAUCUGAUCCACCAGCUGAAGUUUCUUAUCAUAUUCUGAUGACACAAGUCAAGCCUGCCAAUCUCAGCAACUAUGCAGGUUUUGUAUAUGGUUCCUAUGGCACAGUCCAAGCAUUUGUUCCAGCAAUAUUUGAUGAUGGAUGGUAUACACGCAAUAAGAUUGAAGUCACCUGCAUGAUUAUUUUGUAUACACACAUUAAAAUUGAAGUCAUAAGUGACUAUGUUUAUCAUUCAAUUAUCUAUGCAUCAAUUUUUUUUGUGCAUAUGAUACAAUGCAAGUUAGUUUAAUUUUUAUAA